ACCUGUACAGGAAAACAGAAAAAAUGCCAAUUUCAUUACAACUAGAAAAAAAGAAUCACAUUAUGUAAUUAUCAAGCUAAAAAUUAAAUAAAAUAAAAAUUAAAUCAGUAUACAUUGAAUUAAAUUAAAUGAAGUUAGGCAAUCAAUUAUUGCAUUUAAUCGAAACUUCCAGACGUGUAGACCUGCCGACUUGCCAUCUAUGAAUUGGUUUCUGUGUAAAUUUAGGUAUGUUUUUUCUUACAUGAAACUAGAAGAAAGCAAUUUUAAGAGAAAAGCAAUUUUCGAUCACACAUAGUACAAGUACGUAACCUGAAUAUGUGUAUGUAUGUUGAAAGUUGAAACUGGUUACUUACAGAUGAGAAGGAUGGGAUUAGAGGACUACUUGGUGAUGGCAUAGAUAGCAUAAAUAAUACCAGGGAUGUACCCAAACAGGGUGAGUACAAGACAUAUCCAGA
rnacentral:lncRNA from 1 species